CAACACCAACCUCGGCGGAUCAGCAUUUGACCUUGCAGUUACCAUGGAGAUGACCCCUCUGUUAUUACUGCUAUCUUCAGGCUUCUUUCACUCAACACUAACAUCAAGUCACCUGAGAGGAUUCAAUCGCAGCAGGACGGAUUAUUUCUCUUUCACUAGCAGUAAACAGAAGUGUGCCAUGACACAGUCGACAU